GUGGGGAAUAUUGGACAAUGGGCGAAAGCCUGAUCCAGCCAUGCCGCGUGUGUGAAGAAGGUCUUCGGAUUGUAAAGCACUUUAAGUUGGGAGGAAGGGCAGUAAGUUAAUACCUUGCUGUUUUGACGUUACCGACAGAAUAAGCACCGGCUAACUUCGUGCCAGCAGCCGCGGUAAUACGAAGGGUGCAAGCGUUAAUCGGAAUUACUGGGCGUAAAGCGCGCGUAGGUGGGUUGGUAUGUUGGAGGUGAAAUCCCCGGGCUCAACCUGGGAACUGCAUCCAAAACUGCAUGAGUAGAGGACUGUAGAGGGUAGUGGAAUUGCCUGUGUAGCGGUGAAAUGCGUAGAUAUAGGGAGGAACACCAGUGGCGAAGGCGACUACCUGGACUGAUACUGACACUGAGGUGCGAAAGCGUGGGGAGCAAACAGGAUUAGAUACCCGUGUAGUCC
rnacentral:rRNA from 1 species